rnacentral:rRNA from 1 species
CCUACGGGUGGCUGCAGUGAGGAAUAUUGGUCAAUGGACGAGAGUCUGAACCAGCCAAGUCGCGUGAAGGAUGACUGCCCUAUGGGUUGUAACCUUCUUUUAUAUGGGCGUAAAAUGUUCCACGUGUGGGAUUUUGUAUGUACCAUAUGAAUAAGGAUCGGCUAACUCCGUGCCAGCAGCCGCGGUAAUACGGAGGAUCCGAGCGUUAUCCGGAUUUAUUGGGUUUAAAGGGAGCGUAGGUGGAUUGUUAAGUCAGUUGUGAAAGUUUGCGGCUCAACCGUAAAAUUGCAGUUGAAACUGGCAGUCUUGAGUACAGGAGAGGUGGGCGGAAUUCGUGGUGUAGCGGUGAAAUGCUUAGAUAUCACGAAGAACUCCGAUUGCGAAGGCAGUUCACUGGACUGCAACUGACACUGAGGCUCGAAAGUGUGGGUAUCAAACAGGAUUAGAUACCCUAGUAGUC